CACAGUCUGAUUGCUAGUGGUUGCAUCUUGGAUCCAGAAUCAAGCUUUCACUUUUUAAAAGAGUAAUUUCUCUUGUCUUGAUAGUUGUAAAGGAAACUUCUUCAAAUGCAAACAGAUGCAGUGGUAUCUGCAUGAGUCUGCAGACAUCCUGAAACAACAGCUUUGAGAGAAUUGUGAACUACCUGAGUAAACUCUGAGGCUAAUGAUGUAUUGUCAAUACAACUAUUUCACUGAUCAAGGCAUGAAAGAAACAGAUGAUCAUAUUAGGAAGAUCUACGCUAUCUACUAUAAAUGGCUUCUCAUUUGGUGGACGGAGGAAUCCAGAUGACUUCCUGUCUCCACUGUCAAUUUUCAUCUUUUCAUGCAGGAUCAGAUGUGGAAGUAGAGUGCAGCAGAAACAAAACUUAACCCUACAAGUAGGUAAACAUUCACCUUCAGCUAGAAGAGAAAAGACAACCACACUGUUACCUUUGGUGAUUCUUUCAAACAUUUCAAAAUUGUGUUCAUUUUCAGAGUGGGGACUGCGAACCAGAAAACUCCAGGGUACAGAUAUAGUUCUUUUUAUCUGUAAUAUUUUCACAUUUAUGAUUUUGUUUGAUAUAAUUAUCAGCUAUUUUAAAGUGUCCUGCCCUUGUGGCUGUAUUUGAAGUCCUGGUAACCUUUAUGACAUUUAUUUCAGUUGUUUGUGUGUGUAUAUGUAUGUAUACACAUAGAAAGUGCCUUUCCUUGUCCACAUGCAUCUUUGCCAUAAACUCAGACUACAAGGAUUAUUUGUUAUCUAUUCACAAUACAACUGUUUACAUUCACAUCUGUUAUUUCACAAGAUUAGUGCAGCCAGCAGUUUGGGGUAUUUUUGUAUGUGGUGCUGCUGCUGCAGAAAUAUGUGAAAUGUUUGCUGACUUUUUAAAAUGUGAACAUCUUUUUACAAUAAAUAUUUCCCCAUCUACUAUAUUUAAAGCAA